GGGAGAUACUAUCUGGUCAGAGGGCUACAAUUGCUAAGAUAUGUGAAGAAGUUGGACUGCAAAAGAUACUACAGUUGUUGAUGUCUGAAGACUCUGAUGUCCAAACCCAUGCAGUGAAAGUGAUUGCCAAUCUUGCUGCUGAAGAUAUUAAUCAAGAGAAGAUUGUGGAGGAAGGAGGGUUAGAUGCAUUGCUUAUGCUGUUGAAAUCGUCNNNNNAACUAUACUUAGAGUGGCUUCUGGGGCCAUAGCCAAUUUGGCAAUGAAUGAAAUGAAUCAGGG
rnacentral:misc_RNA from 1 species